rnacentral:misc_RNA from 1 species
ACCUAGCUGAAUCCAACGACGACAUAAUUCUUCUGUAGUAUUUCUACCAAAGCCACAUAUAUCAGCUCCAACCAUGGGAAUCCCAAACAGUCCAGAACUCAAAACGCUGGGAAUACUAUAAGCCAAGUCAUCCCAUGUGGCUGCAUUGUCUCCGGUCCAAUGUGCCGUGUACUUCCCAGAACCCACAAAGGUAGAUCUGCUAAGUAUAAAUGGUCUUUUUCCAGUAACAUCGAUUAAAGCAGCAUUGGUCGUUUUAGCUUCCAGGAAUCCGUAGAGGUUAUGAACAUCGUACUCUAAGGUAUUCCCAAAAUGUACUGAUGUUGCUGGGACAGUCUUCUCGUUUAUUGGACGUAAGCCUCCUGAGUUAUUGAUCUUAUAAGGAGGGUUGUCAAGGGUAGAAGAGGGGCUCGGAGGAGAAGAAAUGAAGUUAGAUAACUCAUUCAUGUCAAGCCAGAGCCCAUCGAUGGGGAGAAGGUCAUGGAAAAUCUUGAUUUCAUUACUCCAGAAGACUCUCCCUCGGGGAUUUAUGAAAUCAGGAAAGUAGACUUUUCCAGGCCAAACUUCGCCAAGAUAAGGGACACCAUUGCGUUUGAUGAAAACGUCUGCUUGCAUCCCUCUCUUAUAUGUUUCGUAUGAGCUAUUUAUGCUGAUCCCUGGAUCCAAUAUGAGAACAAAUUUCUGGCCAUUCUGAUGAAGUGUAUCGACAAAUUUCUUCAUCUGGUCAAGUGGGAAGUUAAUAGGAUCGAGUGUGAAAUCCUUGUAACCAUCCAUAUGAUCAAUAUCUGUCCACAUGACCUCGAGAGGGAUCUGAGCUUUCGCAUAGCCAGCAACCACAUUCUUAAUUUCAGUAAUGUCUUUAUAACCAUAACGGCAUUGGUGAAAUCCAAAAGACCAGUAUGGCAUGGGCGCUGGGCGGCCAAUGAGCUCUGUGUACUGUUCCAUGACCAACUCUGGCACAGGACCAGCAAAGAAGUACAAGUCAACCACCCCUCCAAUCACCUUGUAUGUAAUUCUGUCACCAGCGUACACAAUGUCCAUGCCAUUACUAUUGAACAGCAAGACUCCGUGACUAGUCCCCCCGCCAGGAUGAGACCUGACAUCCAUGUAAAAAGGGUGGGAACCAUACAAGUUGAGAUCAGCAUUAGCACUAGCAAUAUCAGCAUUCCAAAGAGUCAAUGUCUGAUUAUGCUUGAGCUUAAAAUUUCUUUUGGUAUGCUCCCCGAGACCAUAAAUAGAUGACCUAUUGGCUGGCAAUGAAGAGGACAAUUGAAGGUACUGAUCCUUGAAGAUGAAGAACGUGUCUGGAGAGUCAUUCUCAGGUCUGGUGUCAAAAAGAACGUCACCUGUGGAGUGGCGCGUGAUAGUAAAGCCAAAAGGGGUGGUGUUGUAGAGAGUGAAAGCAAGGUCCGAAACGGUGUCUGUAUGGAAGUAGUGCGUUUCUUCUGAUAAUGGAAAUGAGGUAGAAGAACGCUUUUCCAAGAGGGAGCUUCGGGGGGGUAAAUGAGUUUCCCGAGGGAUAAAUUCUCGAGGAACUUCCCAUCUUUCAUGAUCAGCAUCCGUAAUUCUGACUCUUAAACGCUCUUUCGCCUCAAAGCAAGCAGUAAGAGUGAGAUUUUGAAUGUCAGUUCCAAAAACAGAGGAAUUUUUGAUGAGCUGAAGAUGAGCAGUCAACGUCCUUCCAGAUGAGUCAACGCCUAUUGAUCUAACAUUAUAUCCAUAACCAACUUGUUCAGAUUUUGUUAUAAGUGCUAAAAAUGGAACCAAAAAAAUGAAGAACAAGAUUAAAUAUUUUGAGAGAAUAAUUAUGAUAAUACAAGAUUUAUUAGUUGUGUG